UCAUUAUUUGUAUUUUGCAACAAUAUUUCAAAGGUUUAGAACAACCUUCUCCGAAGGGUAGUUGAUUAUUCCUCCUUUGAACCAAGACAAUCUUGACUAGAUGCUAUCUCUAGAAUAACUCUUUAUUCUUUAUAGCACUUAGUUAUCGCUACUUUAGUCAAGAAUAUACUAACAACUUAGUAAUUCUUGUAAGUGUUACCCACCAUUUUCAGAUUUCAUAGAUUAGAAUCAUUUAUGAAAACUAAUCUAAGAAAUCCUAUCCAGUUUGGAGUUCGCGGUGUUCCGAAUCCUAUAAUACAACCCUCCGAAGGGAACGUCGCUCCAGGGCAGACAAGCAGGCAUAUUAUAGAAAUCUCACGGUGCGACCUAAUGGAAGAGACCGUGGGAUGUGCUGCCACAAAUCCCUCACCCACUUACUAUGAACUACUUCCCCUAUUCACCUUGAUUUUGAUCCAUGCAAACACUCUCCGAAGGGAGGCCGCUCCUAUGCACGGCACAAAGCCCUGCAUGGACCUCACGGUGUGAACUCUUAGGGACACUAGAGCUAAAAUACAUUAUUUUUCUCUAGUUGAAGUGUUCUAGAGAAAAAAAUAGGGUAAUCCAAGCUUCAAGAUUUAUAUUUAGGCUAACUUAAACAAAUCUUAAGUCUAGAUAAAACAUCCAAGUAUAACCAUUAUACAGGAUUUUAACCUAUGAUGUCUAGGUGAAAAACCAUUUUUAUUACCUCACACCUCUCACGAAUGCUCAUAAAACUAGGUUAACUAGGCUCAAGAACUGAUUACGAUCUCCAGGUAGGAGGUGUUCCGUAAACCGUCAACUUAAGAACCUCCAACCUUAGUCAUCUUAUCUGACUUGUUGACAAGAUUGAACCAGGUGAGCCUUUUGUAACCAGUUUUACAAGAUAUCGACCUAUUUCUAUGAAAAAUGGAAGAUAUGUUUAACCUAAGUGAGCAUGCAUUUAAUCUUUGUUAUUGAUUUUAAAAGUCUAAUUUAUUUUAUAACACUUAUAAAAACUUUUUAAACUUAAUCAAUCAUUUUAUCAAUAUAUAAACGUAUAAAACAAUCAAUUAAUAUGGAUUUUAAUUUAUUUAACUUUAAUUAAAUCAUAUUUAAUUAAAUUAAAUCAAACAAUAAAUAUAAUUAAUUUGAUUAAAUCAUAUUUAAUCAAGAAUAACUUAAUUUAUUAAAUAAUUAAUUAAUCAUAUUAAUUAAUUUCCAUAUUAAUCAAUUAACAUGCAUACAAUACAAUAUAACCUUUAUAUCAUACAUUUUAAUGCAUGAACAUGUUAACCUAUGGUGGGAUUUUAAAUCUAUAUGACAUUCAAAAUGCACAUACAAAUUUAAAGUAAUUUAAUCAUACAUCACAUGCAUAAAUAAAAAAAACACCCUAAAAUGGACUGAUUUUUGGCUCCUAAAUUAAGCUAAGUACUAAAUUAUUACAUAAUUAAUUUGGUGUAGUACAGAACCACUCCCAAAAACUUCGAACCGGCUGAAAAACCAACCGAAACCGCUUGAACCGGCCCAAAAACCAAAUUUAUUGGCUUGAACGGCCCAGGCGCACACGGGUCGGCGAAGGCAGGCGCGCGGCGAGGCGGGCGCGCGGCGCAGGGGCGCGCGGCGCGUGCGGGUCGCGAAGCGGGUCAAGGCGGGUUUUCGGUCUGUGACCUUCUUUUCUUCAUUUUUUUCAAUUCUCUCACCGGUUGAACCAAUUACAGCCUAGCUUCAACUCUAAUGACUUUUUUUAUUUUUUUAAAAAUUACAAACACUUUGCAACAAUAAAAAUAAGCCAUUAACAAGGCUAAUUACAAUAAUUAGAACAAAAACACUUAAUCUAGAGCCAAAAUCAUAAUAUAUCCAUUUUAGUUCAAACCAAAAUUUAUCUAAUAAAUAUGAACCCACCACAUGCAAUUGGGUAAAAAUGAAGCAUGCUCUGAUACCACAUGAUAGAACUAAGUCAUGCACAGCGGAAAAAGAAUCGAAUUUCUACCCUAAUUGCCACAAUUAACAUGUAACCAUAAACUAAUCAAAUUAGGGUUUUAAGAAGUAUUACCUUUGAAGCUUUCAAAAGGUUUGAUGUCUUCUUACCAAUUCUACCCGAGACCACCACUAGUACUCAACUGCUAUCCUCUAGACAAAGAACCGGGUUGUGGGACCCAAUUUUGGUGUAGAAAAUAAUGGAGAUAAAAUGAGAUUGGAAGUUUUUUUUUUCUUUUGUUGAGAUGAUGAAAAUGAUAAAAGAGGCAAAAGUCCUUCAACAUUUGAAAACACCUCUAUUUAUAGCCUAAUUGCAUGCAAAAAUGCAUGCAAUUCAUUUGCCAAAUCUCAACACCUAAUGUUCCACUAACAAUUAGUGGAACUUAGUGGGCUAGGUGUCUAUAUCUCAUAUAGCCACAUAUCCCACUAAGAGUUAGUGGGAUUAUCCAACAAAAUGUUGGAUUUUCCCACUAACUUAGUCCAAGGGUAAAAUGGUCAUUAGAUAUUUCUAGUCAAAAGUCAAAAGUCAAUAUUUUGACUUUUUACCAUUUUGUCCGUCUUGACUAAUUCCAACCUCCCGAGCAUGAAUCCGCAUUCAUUUUUCCAAAAUUCAAAUCACAUUUGAAUAUAAGGCCGGUCAAAGUUUGACUUUUCAAAGUCAAAAGUCAACAUUUUGACUUUUUACUAUUUUUGACCAAUUCCGAGCUUCUUAGUAUGAAUCCGCAUUCAUACUUAUAGUAUGUAAAACAUAAAGCUCUAUUUCUAAUUAGAAGACGACGACUAUAUCACUGUAUUUGUCGGUUUCCCUUUCUUCUCCCAAUUCGAACAAUUCGACUUAUUUCAUCACACUGUUCUAAGUUUAAUCCAUAUGAGCUAGCAGAGGAACCUAAUGGACCUAUAGAUCAUGGGCUCCAACGAUUCAAGAUUAACUAGCUAAACUCUUUUAAACCGAGUUAAUCAACAUUCGUUAACUAACGGGUCAUUCCACUAAAGUCCCGUAGUUGCACUCCCCUCACUAUAGAUAUAUUUGUGUCCAUUUGAUAAAACCAUAAUCAGUAAGUUAAUCCUUCACAGGUUGCUCGUAACCUUGGCUGGGUCAAAAUACCGUUUUACCCCAAGAUUACAUCUUGCUCCUUAAGUCCCACUAAUCCACUAUUGAACAAUUGGUUUAAGGUUCAACCUAUAAACUUAAUCCCUCUCGGGCCAAUGAGAGGGUGGGGCCCCUUGUUCAAGACUUGGAUUCAGUGCUUAAGAGAGCAACCUAUCUACUAACCCUAAAGCGGGUAGGAGUGAAUUCCAUCUUGUACCCUAUGUUCCCAGCUAUCCACCCGAUCUUACCCCUGAAAUGGGAGGCUUAUUGGGCCAACGCUGAUGAGCUGCCCUCACCUAUGCAGAUCUAAGGAUAAUCUCGUGUGAACAGGAGUUCAUAGUUAACUCAGGAUUAAGACUAAGUUACCUAGGUCAUCAAUAAUUGAGAUAGUCAGUUUUAAACAGUAAACGGUGUUAUAACGUAAAAAAGACUAAUUCAUGGUUCAGUCUUAUGUAAACAUUUUACAUAGGAUGCCCCCACUUUCAUGUCUCUACAUGAACGAUUAGGAUCACCUCGUUUGCACUACAAAGUGGGCCGCAUCCAUAGUUUCUCUAAAUAAGGCGCCCAACCUUUAUUUCAUAUACUAUAGACUAUUUAGGCUAUAUACUCGAACUUGAUCCACGUUUAUGUUUACACAUAAAGUUCAAGUUUAUUCAAAAAAUAGCCUUGGAACUUGAUUUAUUGGAUUUAAGAUUAUAAUAUUUAAUUUCUCAAUAACAACUUUAUUGAACAGAAUAUGAUUUACAAACUACGAGUUUUAGGACAAAAAAUUCCAACAGUAUGAAGUCGAAUAUUCUGCAAAGAAAGUAAGGAAAUCGGUGUUCUGGUCUAACACAAGUACGAGUAAAAAUACUAUAAGGAUGAAGUGUAUCGCUUACAUACCCUAUUAUUUGGAGGAAUGUCGAUGAUGAAAUGAAAAAACAAGAUUCAUUAAAAUGAAUGAGAAAAUGAUCUUAUUUUAUUUUUAAAAAAUGUUGUGCCUCAGAGGAGUUGAAUCUGUUCGAUGUAACGAACUGAAUCUAUUAGUAGAAACAUCAAUACAAAUUAUGCAGCAAAGUAUAUAUAGGGUUGUAAAUGCAAACAAAAUAAGCAUACAACAUCAACACAUAAAAAUCAAACAGUCAUACAACAUCGACACAAAAAAUAUAUAUCAAACAAUCAUACAACAUCAACAUCAACAUCAACAUCCCUUAAAAUGGCUAUGGAUAGUAAACAUGAGAUGACAUGAAAGAAAUCAUGAAAAGUAUGAAAUGGCAGUGGAUAAGGUUUUAUGUAUAAGAAGGUAUAUCCUUCAAAUAAUGAAGAAAUUCAUGACCCAUAAUAUGCCUUAAACAUAACAGAUCGGAAUUGAACAGUAAGGACAGACAUGCACAUUCUUGUUAACAUAGAUAUGACAAAAGAAAAAAGAAGGACAAAUGGAACUUCAAAAGAAUAAAAGAAAAUGAAUUUACCUACCAAAUGAAGAAAGAACAGAGGAGGAAGCAAGGAAAACAACACAUAAUAAAAUACAACAAAUGAAGUGCUAUAUAUAGAGGGAUAGAUGGUCAAGUAUGCCUUUAUUGACCCAUACCAAAAAAAUAAAAGAAGGGAACCUCUUUAAAUGACAGAAGUGUACAGAAAAGAGGAGGACAUAGUCAAAACCUACCACAUUAAGACAAAGAUAAGCUAUGAAUAGACAAAUGCAUAACCAAGGAAAAUGAUUGAACACAGACAGUGCAAUGUUAUGGAUUGAUGAGAUUUGCUUACAAAUAAAGAGAAUAAAACAGAACAGACAGUUGCUUGCAAAUAAAGAGAGCAGACUUCACAGCAACUCAACAUCAUAAGGCAUCUUAAUUGCAAGUAAACUGAAACUGUAAACAUAGUUACUCAAAUGUCAAAUGUCAAAAGAAAUAAAUAUGACAACAUAUUUCUUAGUGUCAAAAGAAAUAAAUAUGACAACAUAUUUCUUAGGGCACCAAUUAAAAAACAUGCCUGAAAAUGCAGUGUUCAGAUUGCUAAACAUCGUAGCAACAAGAAAUUCAAACAAACAAAACUAAUCAAAAACAUGAAAAACAAGGACAACAUUGUAGUUUCAGACGGGGAUGGCCAAAAAUGAAAAAAUAUGGAAGGACAUUGAAGUAAGAAACAAAACUACUUACGAAUAAUUUUCCAGACAAGCACAUAAACAAAAGUAAUUACAAAUAAUUAUGAAUUCAAAGAAACAAAACUAAUCAAAAACAUGGAAAAUAAACAACAUUGUAGUUUCAAAGAGGAUGCCCAAAAAUGAAAAAACAUGAACGUAAAUUGAAGUAAGAAACAAAACUACUUCAAAUAAUUUUUCAGAGAAGCACAUAAACAAAAGUAAUUACGAAUAAUUAUGAAUUUAAACAAACAAAACUAAUCAGAAACAUGAAAAACAAACAACAACAUUGCAGUUUCAAACAGGGAUGACCGAAUAUGAAAAAUUGGAAGUAAAUUGAAGAAAAAAACAAAAACAAUUACAAAUAAUUAUUCAGACAAGUACAUAAACAGAAUUAAUCACAAAUAAUUAUUCAGACAAUACAUAAGUGUAAUCCUUAUCAUCAGCUUCGAUAGAAACUCAAAAUCCAACCACUUACCUCCAACCCUACCUUGCUCAAACAUCCCAAUUGCAGAAGAUGAUAGUAACGAUAGUGUAGGAAGUGUCCAAAUCAGAGAGAAAAAAAUACUCGAUCGGCAAAUGGGAGUCCAAGCGGCAAGGGGAAGUGGAAGGGGAAAACUGAGUCGGAAUUGCAUGUUCACCAAGAAGAGUGGUGAACAUGCAAGCGAUUGAGUUUCGGAGGUAAAGUGCAAAACUCGGUCGUUCAACAAAAUCAAAAGGGAUACCCAUUUGUUUCGGAGGCAACGCUGUGAGCGAAGCCUUCAACGAAACUUGGGAGACGACGAGUAGGAGAGAAACAAAAUUAAGAAAUUUUAAUCUGUUUUUAAACUUUUAAAAAUGGUUCAAAAGUUCUAUAAGUUAGUUUUGUAUGAAAACUAUUAAAAUUUUGUUUCAAAAGUAUCCUCCAACUAUUCAAAAUUUUCAUAAACACUCUUAAACUUAUAAAAAAUUCAAAAAUACUUUCAUUUAUCUAAUUUUUAAACAAAAUUUCUUAUCCCUCAAAAUAAAAAUCAAAACUUUAAGUUAAAACUAUAGUUUUAAAUUUUCAUCCAUAUGUAGGCAUUUCUAUCGAUAUUUUCACAUUUUCAUGUGUUUGAUAUUGAUAGUAAUGAAGCAAUAUUUCCAUUACACCAUAGAAAAAUGCACAAAUCACAACAAAUAAACAUAAAAAUAACACUAAUAUAAAAUAUAAAUAAUAGACAUGUUUACUUAUUUGAAAAUAAUAAAAUAUUUAUUUACUAAUUUAAAAUUAUUAUUUUUUAAUUAUUGUUUUUAUAAUAAUUUUUCAAAAAUAUCUAUCGAAAUCAAAAUUUAUGUAAUAUCAAGACUUCAAUAUAUCAGUCAACAUUCAUAUCUUAAACAUGAUUUAAACCAUACAAUUUUACAAAAUUUCACGAAGUUUUCUCGUUAAAACAAUUACUAGUCAAAUAAAAAACAUCUCACGUUGAGAGAUCUAUCAGACUAUCACUAUAUGUUAAUAGUCAUAUACAUUUUGUUAUUUGACAAUGGUACAACAAUAACUAUUGAGAAGGGUUAUGUUUGUGAUCUAUGAUUAUGGGUUAAUAGUCAGAUAAAAAUAAAACUAUAGUUUUAAUUUAAAAUUUUUAUUUUUAUUUUAUAAAUUGGUGCAAAAUUUGGAGAUUAUCUUUUAACUUUUUUUUUUUUUUUGAAGCAUAAGGGUAUUAUAUUUUUUAAAACUUUUUAAUAGUUGAGGGUUAUUUUUUAGGAAAAUUGCAUAGGAUGACAUUUUGAGAAUAUAAUAUAACAAUUAUAGCACAUUGUUUUAGAAUUUUGCAAAUAUGGUAAAAUUUUUACUUCUUCAUCUUAAAUUUGACAUUAUUUCUAAACUACCAUUCAAUAACUUAUUUUUCUUCCUCUUUUUAAUGUCCUACUCAUUAUUUAUUUAUGCUCCCACUUUUUAAGGCCCUAAUUACUUGUUUAUUCUUAUACUAGAAAAAUUAUUUAUUCUUUCUGUCUUCAUCUUAAUUUUAAAAUAUCAAUAGUACAUUAGUUUUAAUAUGAAUAAUAUAAUAUAAUGGUUGUUGAUUGGAGUAAUUUAACUUUAUUUGUGAUUUUUUUUUACUUUCUUUAUGUGUAUUUUGAGUUGAAUUUGAUUCCAAAUGAUUUUCUUUUAUUUUUUUAUAUUAAUUUUUUUGUUUUACUCUGUCUCAGUUUCGUAUGAUAGUAUUGUAGUAUACUUAUAUUAUAUGUAUUAGUUGGUUAAUAUACUUACUACGUGGUUUUCAUUUUUUCAAAUUUUAUGUAGUUUAUUAGAGUAUUAUUAAGUAUAUGAAUGAUGUAAUUCAAUAUAUCAUUAUCAAGUAUAUCAACAAUAUAUUGUUAAAACAUAUCAGUAAAGUGAAUCAUUAACAAGUAUAUGAAUCGAGUUUACAAGUGUAUAUCGAUAGCAUAUCAAGUGUAUAAGUAGGACUUCAAGCAUAUCAAGUUCAUUUAAUCAAUCAAUUGUAUAAGUGGAUAAUACUAAAUGUAUAUGCAAUGUAUCAGGUGUAUCAAACAUAUAUUAGCAUGUUUCGGUAUCGAGUGUAUCAAAGAGUAUCAGGUGCAUCAAGUGUAUCAAUCAAAUGUAUCAGGUGUAUCAAGAAGUAUUAGGUGUAUCAAUGGGUGUAUUAGUGAUAGAACUAAGUCAUGCACAGCGGAAAAAGAAUCGAAUUUCUACCCUAAUUGCCACAAUUAACAUGUAACCAUAAACUAAUCAAAUUAGGGUUUUAAGAAGUAUUACCUUUGAAGCUUUCAAAAGUUUGAUGUCUUCUUACCAAUUCUACCCGAGACCACCACUAGUACUCAACUGCUAUCCUCUAGACAAAGAACCGGGUUGUGGAACCCAAUUUUGGUGUAGAAAGUAAUGGAGAUAAAAUGAGAUUGGAAGCUUUCUUUUUUCUUUUGUUGAGAUGAUGAAAAUGAUAAAAGAGGCAAAAGUCCUUCAACAUUUGAAAACAUCUCUAUUUAUAGCCUAAUUACAUGCAAAAAUGCAUGCAAUUCAAUUGCCAAAUCUCAACACCUAAUAUUCCACUAACAAUUAGUGGAACUUAGUGGGCUAGGUGUCUAUAUCUCAUAUAGCCACAUAUCCCACUAAGAGUUAGUGGGAUUAUCCAAC
rnacentral:lncRNA from 1 species